rnacentral:rRNA from 1 species
UUAUACUUGGUUUUAGUAGUGCACAAAUACAACGAACUUAUAAAGUCUGACCCAUUCUUCGUUGAUGUACGGCAAGUAUCGUUAAGAUCUACCAGUGUCGAUUUUACUAUCGAACCGAUACAUCUGAUGAAGUUCUUAGAGAGACUGGCGGUGACAACAAAUAUUUGAUGUCUCCGAGUGACGGGAUAUGUGUUGAGAAAGUCCAACAAGUCGGAGCGGAUUAGAUUAUCUUAGAAAAAUAUAUUACAAAACCGGUCUUAAUGAUAUAUCCUCAUACUAAUGUCUCCGAGUCACAGGAUAUGUGUUGAGGAAGUCCAACAAGGGCGUUUUUUUUGAGAAAAGUCCAACAACUUGGAGCGGAUUAGAUUAUCUUAGAAAAACUUAAUACAAAACCGGUUUUAAUGAUAUAUCCUCAUACUAAAUAGAAACGGAGAAAGCAUGUGUAAGGAAGACGUACUCUUAAGUCCUCCAGUUUAUGACUGUAUUUAGCCUUACCACUGUACGAUGAAGAAAUGUUCAUCCCAUGUUUGCCAUUCUUUCGAGAAUCUUUAACAAUUUGAAUAAUCGGGCACUAUUGAAUUAUGGACUGUUUCUCCAACGACUCGAGUCAGAAUUUUUAUCUUUCUCAAUCCCACCAUGACGGGUCAGAGAUAAAACAAAAGUCAUCACUUCGAUGGUGAUAAACAACAAAAUUCACACCUUUGAGAUAAAAAAGGGGUUGUGUAUAAAAGAAAUAAUAAUAUAAAAAUAAAACAGGGUUUAUGAUGAACUAAGUAUAAAGAACGAAAGGUAACAAACAUUAUACUUGGUUUUAGCAGUGCACAAAUACAACGAACUUAUAAAGUCUGGCCCAAUCUUCGUUUUGAUGUACGACAAGUAUCAUUAAGAUCUACCAGUGUCGAUUUUACUAUCGAACCGACACAUCUCAUGAAGUUCUUAGAGUGACUGGCGGUGACAACAAAUAUUUGAUGUCUCCGAGUGACGGGAUAUGUGUAGAGAAAGUCCAACAACUCGGAGCGGAUUAGAUUAUCUUAGAAAAAUAUAUUACAAAACCGGUCUUAAUGAUAUAUCCUCAUACUAAAUAGAAACAUAGAAAGAAUGCGUAAGGAAGACGUACUCUUAACUUUUCCACUUUGUACCCUGAAGAAAUGUUUGUCCCAUGUUUGACGCUCUUUCGAGAAUCUUUAACCAUUUGAAUAAUCAGGCACUAUAAUAUUAUGGACUGUUUCUCCAACGACUCGAGUCAGAAUUUUUACCUUUCUCGGUACCCACCAUGACGGGUCAGAGACAAAGCACAAAUCAUCACUUCGAUGGUGAUGAUAAAAUACAAAAGUCACAGUUUUGAGGUUAAAAAAGUUUAACAAUCGGUCUAGGAACUUGAUAAAACUGCUUGGAAAUCAUAGAUAAAACAUGCGAGUACGUCUAAAAGCGACCCAUGUCAACGUAGUGAUAUAUGCGACCCAUGUCAACGUAGUGUUAUACCAAUGGACAACUAUUACGAUGAUGUCUUUUAUACACUUGCGGUAGGCUCCUGUCUCUUCUCCGCGAUGCCUGAUCCCUAAUGUACGACCGAUGGUGGCUCCGUGGCUUACCUUUAUACUCUGUACCUAACUGUGCCUGUGUUCUCUUUCUUCUUUGUUUUUAUUUGUAAUAUCUGGUCUACUACUCUUGUUACCAAAGUGAGUCACGACGUACGAAUCGACUACCUUGUAUGAGGACAAUGUAUCGUCCGAUUCACUACAAGAUCUCAUGUGUACCUUUCACUGAACUACCUUCAGUUGUUGUACCAUUGUCCCACUAACCUAAAACACAAGAAAACGUUUCAAGUAAAUAUACUAGUAAAGUUUAGUCAAUCGUUACUGUAAGUUGCACCUUUCCUUCCUCUUUUUGAAUACUAAAGGUUCAUAUAUACUAAAGGUACGAAACGCAAUGAAAAAAAACCGAAAUUACCCAGGAUACUCACACGUAACCCUUUUUGAUAAAGUUAGAAUCACCGUUGUUCAAGGUUGUACAUAUUCAUAAUACACGAUUAUUGCGUGUUUUCAGGAGUUCAUAUAGUAGG